rnacentral:misc_RNA from 1 species
UGGUACCAUUGUUUUGAUUAAACAUAGAAAAUACAGUUCCCAUCCACUGGAUUAACUAUUCCAUAGGUAUGUACAUAUACACACGGGAAUAGUAUAAUAAUGGUUUCCCCCCUACAUCAGCUGUCUCUGUCUGUCUAAUUGAGAACCCAAAAUGAUGACAUUCUUUAGAAAUAAUAUCCGAAAAUGAGAAGAAAAAUUAAGUAUAUUCCCUAUUUGCCCUCUUUAUCCUUGAAUCGCUGAGAAACAUCAUUACGCAGCAUCUGCAUGAAUUCGUCGGCUAGGUUCUCUUCACUGGAUAGUUCAUCAGCCAGACUUAGAUCGCUACUUCCAUGGUGAUGCAAAGAUUCUGUACUUUGAACCAAAGAACGAAGAAUCUCUACAGGUGGACUAUUGUUCUCGAUUUCUUGGGCAACCUCAUGAAGAUCAAUCUGAACGUUUUCAGUGGUUGGUGUUGCCCCUCUUACUGCAGUAUUCUCACCAAGCCUCUGUGCAAUAUUAGGAAUUCGUUGAGGCACACCUGAGAUGCCACCAAGAGCUUGAGACACAAUUGGCAUCAUUUGCUGAAACAUCCUAGACAAGUCCAUACCACCACCUUGCCCGGAAAACAUGCUUCCAAGAUCCUGGGUGUCAAUCUGCUGCGCAAUCUGACUAACAGUGUUCAUCAUUGCUGGACUUUGAGUGAAUUGCUGCAUCAUAUUCCUCAAGAGAUCCGGAGAGCCAGCCCCAGUUUGUUGUGAAACCCCACUCAACAAACCAUUUAAAGCAGGACUCUGAAGGACACUAGACAUUGCAUCUGCUAUCUCUGACUGGCCAUCAACAUUUCGGUUUCCCGAGCCAAUAGUCCCCAUAACUCCCCUAUCUAAGUGUGUCAUUGAAGGCAUAGCAGGCUCAUUUCCCCUGGCUGCAAGCGCUGCAAGAGACUGCAAAAAUUGACGCUCAUCUCUUUGAGGUAGUUCAUUUGGAUUGCUGCUACUUGAACCAUCAGCAUUAAUUCCAUGAGCUACAGAUUGCUUAGUUCGUUUCUUAGGCUGCAAACCUCCGAGCCCUAAUCCAAGGGGCACAGAUGAGGAUUCAUCAGGACUACCUAACUCCUGACUAGACCUUUGAGCUCUUCCUACACUGGCUGAAGCUUCUGGCUUACUAUGAGACAUUUCGCUUGAUUGACCUACACUCAUUUUAUCCUCUCUCCCGGGAACACUGUGUGCUGGUAGAGGCUCAGGCACAGUCAUCCCACUUGCAGAUGUCUCAUCUAGUUGAGUGCUAACAGUAUCAUUCUCAGCACCAGACGCAGUAGAGCGCUCUUGGCCACUUGGGCCAUCUGAUUGGCCAGGCUGUGGCAUACUAGAGACUGAGAUAACAGCAGGCCUUGGUGCCACAGCUGUAGCCAUUAUAUUUCCAACAGGCAGAACCCUUGUUUGGCCAGAAUCAGUUCCAUUACCACGUUCACCGUGUGCUCCAUCUCCAUUGGCCGCCCUAGCACCAACUGCAGAAGUAAUAGGCGCUGCAUGUAUAUGAAUAUUGACAUGCCUUGGGGCAUUACCAAUCCCAAGAGCGCCAAAGGUACCGGGGUUAGGUGGAACAGCAGCUGAGUUACCGAAGAGUGAACUGGUUUGAAGGGGGAAAGGCUGAACCAUUAUGGGGUUCGGCCCGGUGGAAGAUAUGUAAACUGCAGGACCAGCAUUUACUGAAGAUUCAGCAGGUGAUUGUCCCAUUCUGAGAGUCAAUAUCGUCCUUCCAAGCUCUAAUAGAAGGGCACCUAAAUGUUGCAUAACUUGACCAAUUAGCACAGACUCUGUCUGCACCUGUCCCCUUAAUGCAGGAUCACUGGAGACUCUUCCUUGUUCCAACCGCCCUGCAAAGUGAGAUAAUGCUGCAAUAACUUGACCACCAAAAAGACGCUCUGCCUGACGCAGCGCAAGGCUCAACACUUCUGGACUCGAUAAGCCACGAUCAUGUGUAGGCAACUGUACUGCAGGUGGAUCUCCCGCAUUAUUAGGUGACUGGUUCGGCGGGUAACCAUUCUGUGAGAAUACAUGCUCCAUCCCGUCCAUGAAUUCAGAAAGCGUGAUCAAGGAAUCCAAAAGGGGCAAAUUAAUUGAGGGGACAGCUAUUGCUGCCCCCAGAGGAAUUUGCACUACUUGCGGCAAAGAUUGACCAGAAAAUGCCUGCCCAGAUUGCUGACUUCCUGACUGACUUAAGCUCUCAUUUCCUUGAGGGCGAGGAGCUGGAGUGCUGGCCUGCACACCAGGAAGCUGUCCACCGGUCAUGUUCCCGAUCCCUACAGUGUUCAAAACUGCCCCAAUAACCCGAUUAAGAUCAGGCACAAGUCCUUCCCCCGGAUCUCCAACAUUAAAAGUUCCAAGGACAACACUGUGUGAAAUCUGCCCGAUACGAUUCCGUGAGCCACCAGCAGUGGGUUGAGGCUCUUGUCCUCUGUUAACAUUGUUAGUAGUAGCUUCGCCACUGCUACCACCUGAUGGAGCUUGCAAUUGAGACUGCCUCAGCACUAAAUGUAGUGUGUCCCCAUUUUCCACAUAAUAUUCAGAAAGAAGGUGAUUAUCCUUCAAGACCUUGCCCCUAAAAAUUAGUCUCUGCUGCUCAACAGGUACACCAAUCUGACUUGCUAGUUUGUCCUUCAAGGCUGAAACUUGCAAAUUCUUAUCCACGUUAAAAGUAUAGGUCUGGGAAUCUAAGGUCUUGAUGUUGAGAACCACGGUUGAUUCAGAACUUCCACCAGAAUCAUUACUUGUACUUGACCCUUCAACUGCUUGCUGAUCAGCCAUGAAGACUUCAGAAACAACAACUACACGCAGGAGUUCACCGGAGAUUGAGAUCGGAAGGAGCAAAGGAGAGUGAGUGGCGUCAACUUUGGCCAGAGAUUUAGCUG